AAUGAACGCUGGCGGCAUGCCUAACACAUGCAAGUCGAACGAGACCUUCGGGUCUCGUGGUGCUCGGGUGCGUAACGCGUGGGAACCUGCCCUUAGGUUCGGAAUAACUCCCCGAAAGGGGUGCAAAUACCGGAUAAUGUCCUCGGACCAAAGAUCUAUCGCCUUUGAAUGGGCGCGCAUUUGAUUAGCUUGUUGGUAGGGUAAAGGCCUACCAAGGCGAGGAUGGGUAGAUGGACCGAGAGGAUGAUCAGCCAAACUGGGACUGAGAGACGGUCCAGACUCCUAGGGGAGGCAGCAGGCGGGAACUUUGCACGAUGGGCGCAAGCGGGAUGAAUGGACGAAGGGUGGAUGACGAAGGCCUUCGGGUCGUAAAAGUGUUUAAGGGGUGAGGAAUGUAAAAGAGUUUAACCCUUGACGAAUAGACGUGAACCGGAGAAAAAGCCCCGGGUAAAUCCGUG
rnacentral:rRNA from 1 species